UACGUAGGGAGCAAGCGUUGUCCGGAUUCACUGGGUGUAAAGGGUGCGUAGGCGGGGGAAUAAGUCAGCGGUGAAAUCUUACGGCUCAACCGUGAAACUGCCGUUGAUACUGUUUUUCUUGAGUUCGGGAGAGGUUGAUGGAAUUCCAGGUGUAGCGGUGAAAUGCGUAGAUAUCUGGAAGAACACCAGUGGCGAAGGCGGUCAACUGGCCCGAAACUGACGCUGAGGCACGAAAGCGUGGGUAGCGAACAGG
rnacentral:rRNA from 1 species